CUUCAAAAAGUCAUUUUAAAUCCUGACCUGCUUGCAAGCUUCAAGUACUACACACAAUUCCGGCAUACAGGCUCCAUAGAAUGUGCAAACAGUCUGAGCUUAGUAUAUACUCCAAAAAGAAUGCCAUUCAGUUACAGAGCAUUCAAGGCAAGAAAGCAAUUGACAGCUAUAGAUUGGAACUUUCACAUUAAUCUCCCACAAGCUAAGAACAAGAGUACUGGAGAUGUGAUGGUCACACGGAAAUACAACCCUAGAACAAGAAAAUGGGAUGUAAAGGUUGUGAAAGUGGAAAAGGGCUAUGACUACAUCCCAUUACUAAUUGCAAAGGUUUUCAGAAGCA